GGCUAACGCUGGCGGCGUGUCUUAGCCAUGCAAGUCGAGCGGACUUAUGGGGUAACUUAUAAGUCAGCGGCGGACGGCGGAGUAACACGUAGCUAACCUACCCUCUGGACGGGGAUAACCUACCGAAAGGUGGGCUAAUACCCGAUGUAGUCAUCCUGUAUAGGGGUGAUGAAAGGUGGGCUUCUGUUUACAAGCUCAUGCUGGAGGAGGGGGCUGCGGCCUAUCAGGUAGUUGGUAGGGUAAUAGCCUACCAAGCCGAUGACGGGUAGCUGGCCUGAGAGGGUGACCGGCCCGAGGGGCACUGAGAUACGGGUCCCACUCCUACGGGAGGCAGCAGGCUAGAAAUUUGGGCAAUGGGGGAAACCCUGACCCAGUGACGCCGCGUGCAGGAAGGAGCCCUUCGGGGUGUAAACUGCUGUCGUGUAGGGAGAAGGGUACUAAGGUGAACAAUCUUAGUACUUGACGGUACUACAGGAGGAAGCCCAGGCUAACCUCGUG
rnacentral:rRNA from 1 species